UUGGGUUCUGGGGUUCUGGUGGGUUCUGGUGGGGUUUGGUUUGGUUCUCCAAGGGUUUUGUUGAGUUCUGGUGGGAUUCCAUUGGGUUCUGGGGUUCUGGUGGGUUCUGGUGGGGUUUGGUUUGGUUCUCCAAGGGUUCUGGUGGGUUCUCCAAGGGUUCUGGUGGGUUCUGGUGGGGUUCUGGUGGGGUCUGGUUGGGUUCUGGUGGGUUCUCCAAGGGUUCCAUUGGGUUCUGAGCUUUGGUUGGGUUCUGGUGGGGUUCCGUUGGGUUCUCCAAGGGUUCCAUUGGGUUCUGGGGUUCUGGUGGGUUCUCCAAGGGUUCCGUUGGGUUCUCCAAGGGUUCCAUUGGGUUCUGGUUGGGUUCUGGUGGGUUCUGGUGGGGUUCUGGUGGGUUCUGGUGGGGUUCUGGUGGGUUCUCCAAGGGUUCCGUUGAGUUCCGGUUGGGUCCCGUUGACUUUUCCCACAAUUCCAUUGGGUUUUCCAA
rnacentral:lncRNA from 1 species